AAUAUGUUUGUUUUUUUAAACAAUAAUUUCAUUGAUCUGGCGUAGGAUAUCUCCUUUUUCUGGCGUAAAAUAUAUCACCACCCAUAUAUGAUAGAUGAUAAAGUCUAGUUCCCUGAGUUCUUCUUUUUCCUCAGAUGAAAAUCCUCAGAUGAGCAUUUUCUCAAGUGCGGAUGGAGCUCUUUGCUCAUGUAUGGGAUGCACUGAGCACUGCCUUCAGCUGCGCCUCUUUGUUUAUCUAUGAGGGGGGCUAGAUUCUAACUCAGAUUGGUUUUGCUAUAGGUUGGUGACCCCAAAAUAUAUCAAAUGCAUCAUGGUUGGUAAUUUUAUAUGUCCGACACCAAGAAAUAUGUCAGGGUUACCAUGGCAACUGCAUGUGUUCUGAAAAGCUUGUGAAUGGGCUCUGAACCUUCUGGCAUUUUAACUGAGAUUUUCCAGCUGAGAGUCUGAAUACAUGAUCAGUGUAAAUAAAUUCAGCUUUCUGUGGAGAGGACAUCCUGUCUCCGGAGUUGACUACCCUGCUCAGUUCUUUCUCUUGUAACAUCUACCUUGCCUCUUGGUUCCCAGUCACAGGCUAUGUGAAAGCUUGUUUUCAGCCUCAGGUUGGGGAGCCAUCUGACCACAGUUACCAAUGGACCAUGUAGAAUGGAUCCAUUGCCUGAUAAUCCCCUCACCCCAAACUGUACUUGUAGCUUCAUGUCCUACUGUGGUGUGGUGUUCUGGUGGAGCUUGCUGUCCAUCUGAAAAACUUCUUUCUAGAAGUUUCCAGCUCCAGAGAGCCUGACUUGCUGUUAGUUUGAAAGCUGUGGUGGUUGGUUUGGGGAAGGAGAUCUAGUGAGCAAGCUUAUGUGAAUUAUAAUGGAGGACCAAUUGGCUUUAUGAUCAAAGGGUUGUUGGCAGCAUUUAUAACCAGUUCACUCCCCAAGCUGAGCGUGGUACAUACACCUUUGCUCUUAGUACUCGGCACUCAGGAGGCAGAGGCAGCAGAUCUCUGGGAGUUCAAGGCCAGCCUGGUCUGUGUGUUGAGUUCCAUGCCAGCCAUAGCUGGAAAGAACUAUCAAACAACAAAAAGCAAAACAAGCAAACAAGCAGUCCUCCUUGUAUAUUCAGACAACCUUGAAAUCCCUUUGGAGACAAGGUCUUGCUUUAAAGCCCUAGUGUGCUUGAGCUCACUAUGUUUACCUGUUUGGCCUAGAACUCAGAAUUAUAUGGUAUGACUGUUCAUUUGAAAGUAAGCUAGUCUUUGAGCCACCCACUAGUGGGUGUAUUGCUGUGGCUUACCUCUGGGCCUCAUUUGGGAUCUUUGUCUGAUUCUGUUCUUUAAUUUCAGAUGAGAAAACCGAGGCCCAAAGAAGCUAUGUCCUUGGUUGGGGUCCCAGAGUAGGCCAGACCCAGGUGCAGGAUCAGAACUCCGCUCCUGCUCCUGGAUGUCUGCUCCCCUGAGGCUCAUGUCCUGACAGAAUUUGCUCUCAGCUAAUACAUCUGUUUUCCUUUUGUCAGAAGGGGGGGUCUUUCAUAAUUUCAGGUCUAACUUAGAGAACUCUUCAAUUUAAAUUUUAAAAACUUUUUUCUACAUUUUUUCCUUUCUUUCAUCAUUUAAUAAUUUCUGCUCAGUGUGCUGAUCCUGAUACAUCCAUGGGGAGGACAUGACCUCUGCCCUGUGUGCCCCUUGCUGUGAUGAGAGAGCUCCUGGCUGUCCACAUGAGUUCUGGAUUGAGGGGCUGAGGAGAUGGUGCAGUUGAUAAAGUACUCACCAUUUGAGCACCAAGACCCUAGUGUAGAUCCCCAGCACCCAGGUUUAAAAACAGUGCUAAGGCUGGGGUGGACAUAGGGCUGCCUACCAAGUCCCCAGCUCUGGGGUUGUCAGCGACCUUGUCUGAAACUCGGAGGUGGAGGAUGAGGAAGGUGUCCAUUGUCAGCCUCCUGCCACCACAGCACACACUCUCAAGAUUAGUGGCUGCUGUGACAUCACACUGAUGAAGGCAGAGUGACAUAAUGAUAGCAGUCCUGAUCUAUUACAUGAAGUAAGGGGUCGCACUCUCAGAAGUUGAAAUGCGAAUUGAUUUUCCAACCAGAUUGUGCUUAACCUUGGUUUUUAAAUUUCUGGUGUUUAAAAAUUAAGAUUUCAGAGGGCUGGAGAGAUGCCUCGGUGGUUAAGAGCACUGGGUGCUCUUGUAGAGGACCGGGGCUCAGUUCCCCAUCCACAUGGCCCCUCAUAACCAUUUGUAACUUCAGUUCCAGGGAAUCCAUUGUACUUCAUGGGUACCAGCCUUAUAUGUUUUAUAUGUGGUACAUGUACAUAUACAUAUAUAUACAUGCAGGCAAAAUACUCAUACACAUAAAAUAUUCUCUAAAAAUUAAGAAAAAUUUUUAUUGUAAAAAUUUUUUAUUGUAAGUCACAUAAGGUGAUGAAUUGUAUUUUUUUCUCUUAAUCUUUUUUUAAAAGAUGUAUUUAUUUUAUUUAUAUGAGUACACUGUAGCUGUCUUCAGACACACACCAGAAGAGGGCAUCGGAUCCCAUUACAGAUGGUUGUGAGCCACCAUGUGGUUGCUGAGAAUUGAACUCAGAACCUCUGGAAGAGCAGUCAGUGCUCCUAACCACAGAGCCAUCUCUCUAGCCCCUCAAUAUUCAUUCUUUUUCUUCCUUCCUGUCUUGUCUGUCUGUCUUCCUUUCUUUCUUUCUUUCAUUUUUUUUUUAAUUAAAGACAGGGUCUAGCGUCUCUCUAUGUAGCCCUGAUCAUCCCUGAUCAUCCUAGAACUCAUUGUGUAGACCGGGCUGGUCUUAAACUCACAGAAUGCUUGCCUCCCAGUGCUGGGGUUAAAGGUAUGCACCAUCACACCUGGUUUCCUCCUCCUCCUUUAAAUAAAUAAAUAAAUAGAUAAAAAUUAUUUUCUUUGUAUGAGUGUCACUUGUAGACAUGAGUACAUGUCUGGACUCACAGAGACCAGAAGUGCAGGAUCCCCUGGAACUGGAGUUGUGGAUUGUUAUAAGCUACCCUGAAGGUGCUAGCUACCAAGUCCUGAUCCCCUGGAAGAACAGCAGAUGUUCUUAAUCACUGAGUCAUGUGCCUUUAGCCUUCCUUUCUUUCUCAGCUGCUGCCUUUAUUCACCGAGCCCAUCUCACUGGCCCAAAGUGUAUUACUAACAUAAUUUAUAUAGCAUGGACUGCCUUGUUAAUACAUGGUAUCCAGUGUUGGUGUGUCCAAAAUCCUUUUUAACUUUAGAACACUUUAGUCAACCUAAAGCUAUAGACUCUUAAUUUAUUCAGCAGACAAAUUAAGAGUGAAAGGCCAGCAUCAUGACUCAUUAUGUUGAACUGUGGUCCUGUGUGCCUUGCCCUGUAAGCAGAACUUCAAACGGAAGGGUGCAGGUGGCAGCCGAGCUGUGGUGUCCAUGGCUGCUGGCCCUCAGAAGCGCUUUAGGUAAAUAAGAGUUUCUGUUGAAGCUCUGGCAAGAGGCUGUAAACUAGAUUUUUGAGGAGGGGAAAGUCAAUUUUGAUAGGACAGAGGUCACACUUCAGGCAGAAGGACAUCCGUGGCAGAUCAUCCUGCUGGGUGAGAAUAGACUACAGGGUUUGAAGCAUUGCUUGAGUUCAUGUGUACGAUAAGCCUACACACUUUUCUUUUGUCUUUUCCUACGUGUCCUGUGUUCCUUUAUUCCCACACACGCCUGGUUAAAAGACCACACCAUAGGCAGAAGGGAAGGCAUGGCCCAAAGAGGAAAGGGCUGGUCCUAGCCUGGAUCAUCAGGUCAGCACCAUCGUCUAUGUGUCUGCCUUGUGAGACUGGUCCUAAGAUUAGAGGCAUAGUUUACACUAAGAAUAACUCCAAUAUCAAAACCUUAAGAUUAGUCUUUUGUUUAGAGAAAGAAAAUACAGUAAUCAAAGUAAAGUUUCUUGACUUGUAAAAAAUAUAAGAUGAGAGCCAAACAUGGUCGCAUACACCUUUGAUCACAGUAUUCAGGAGGCAGAGCCAGGUAGAUCUCUGUGAGUUUGAGGCAAGCUUGGCCUAUCUAGUGGGUUCCAGGCCAGCUAGGACUACAUGGUAAUACUUUGUCU
rnacentral:lncRNA from 1 species